rnacentral:lncRNA from 1 species
CAUAAGACAGCGAUGGGGUGGCGGGCCGCACCUGUGCCCAUGUUGUCACUGACAAUCCACUUGGUCGUCGCCGACUAGGGUUGCCGUGCGGGAACUACGUGUUGACCACGGCGUGCCCGUAUGAUGCUCUACUUUUGAAACCUGCCAUCAGUUCCUUUUGAUUUACUAUUGUCUUUUGUUAUCACUGAUCUUAGUGUCCAUACUGUCACUGUUAGUAUCUAUGUUGUCACUCAUUAUACUGCUCCUGUUUAUACUGCUCCAGUCAGCAACUUGCACCUGUGACUAUUUUCAUAUUACUAUCUUGUUGCUCUCAUGCAAAUACGAUAUGCAACACUAACAAAGCUUGUAUCCAGAAGACUAACCCAAAGAAUAAAAAAGACAGUGGAAGGGGCGCAUCCCACCUGGUACCGCCCCAACUUCCUCUCGGGCGGUGCACCAAGGGUGCACCUCAAUGGUGGUGGAGCUCCCGGUGAUUCAAUGGAUGACUAUGGACGCAUGGCCGAGUCCACCACCAUUGAGUGUAUGUACAAGUUCUGCAGGGCAGUGGUGGCAAUGUUUGGACCUCAAUACUUGCGAUCACCCAAUGCCGGUGAUUCAAUGGAUGACUAUGGACGCAUGGCCGAGUCCACCACCAUUGAGUGUAUGUACAAGUUCUGCAGGGCAGUGGUGGCAAUGUUUGGACCUCAAUACUUGCGAUCACCCAAUGCUGAAGACACUGCUCGGAUCCUAGCACAGAAUGCAGCAAGAGGAUUUCCUGGUAUGCUUGGAAGCAUCGACUGCAUGCAUUGGAAAUGUAAAAACUGUCAAUUUGCUUGGCAGGGGAUGUACAAAGGCGCCAAAGGCGGUUGUAGUGUCGUACUUGAGGCAGUGGCCACACACGACCUCUGGAUUUGGCACUCCUUUGGUAUGCCAGGAACUCACAAUGAUAUCAACGUACUGCAGUGCUUCCCUGUCUUUGCCAAGCUUGUUGAAGGUCAUGCUCCUCCUGUGAACUUCGAGGUCAAUGGGCGCCACUACAACAAGGGAUACUACCUGGCAGAUGGCAUCUAUCCGAGAUGGUCCACGGUGAAGACAAUCUCAAACACUGUGCCAGGAGGCAAGAACUCCUACUUUGCCAAGUGUCAGGAGGCUUGCAGGAAGGAUAUCGAGCAGGCAUUUGGUGUGCUUCAAUCUCGAUUUGUUGUUGUCCGGUACCCCGCUCAGACCUGGUUGAAAGAUCAAAUGUGGGAGGUCAUGACUUGCUGUGUCAUCUUGCACAACAUGAUCAUUGAGAGCGAGCAGAAAGAGUCAGUGUUUGACACUGAGCCAUAUUACAGGCAGGGUCCUCUUGCCCAAGUUGAUCACCAGCUACCGGCAACCUGGACUGUCUUCCUCAAUAUGUGUCAGAAGAUCCAAGACCCACAGGUGUAUCAACAACUGCAGCAAGAUGUGGUGGAGCACCUAUGGAAGCUCAAGGGCAACGCCUAGCUCAACGUGUGAUGAAAUAUGAGUUUUUAUUAUUUGUUGAACUAUUUAAUUUAUAUUGAUUUUCUGUGAUGAACUAUGUGAUUAAAAAUAGCUUAUGUUGAAUUUGUGCCAA